rnacentral:lncRNA from 1 species
UUGAGACAAGUAUUGUAAUGAACCAUUCAUAAAAAGUUUGCAAAUAUUGAAAAAACAUGCUAAAGUCAUAAUCAACUGCAGAAAUAUUAGAGGUGAGUUCCCAUAUUUAUCGUACGUGUACAAGUAAACAACGUGUUUAUGAAUAGUUUAUUUAUAUUUUAAAACUUUACUAUAAUCUUCAAACCUUAACUAUUUUCGCCAUCAAAAUGUUGAGGUUCUGUAGUUUAUUAUGUUUUGUUGCCAGGAUAGUUGUCAGUAAAUAUAUAAAGGGAGACUUAAAAACACUUAUUUUUGAUUCACAAAACCUAUGGACCCUAGUAGUUAGGACUUUGAAUUCCAUUGAACAUUGAACCAUUGUACAGAAGUCAGCACAAAUAAAAUAAUGCGUUGUAUAGAAAGAGAGAGGUGAGAGAAGAGUUGGAACUGUGUGGAAAGAUAUUUAACUCAUGGUCAUUUGGAUGGAUAUCUCCUACGGAGCAAUCGAAUAUGUGGAAUGCAUCCUUCUCGUUGUUUAGAAUAUCCAAUUUACACUCUCUUCAAUGUCCUUAUCUGUUGAAGGGAUCUCGACUUUUAAGGUGAUUCCAUCUCCAUUAAUGGAAGGGUAGUUCAGGUGCCUCUUCUUAUCAAGGGACUAUGGAAUACUAUAAAACGACAGUAUGAUCCAAUGAAAGACUCACGUGAGGAACAGAGAGAGCUCUCAUCCUCCAUCCACAGCCCCUUCUUUGAAUUUCUUUUUAGUCAACUCUACUUCGUCCCCUACUCUAAGAAUAAGAGUCCUUCAGUGUUUAGAUGUAUGUAAAGGAGAAAUCACUCAUCCCAAUCACAUUUAGAAGUUGCCUUUUGUGAUAUACGGUCUAUAUAGAUAGUUCUAUAACCUCGACUCUUCAAGCUCACGCCUGUUUUCAUUAUUACUACAGAGUCUCUUUUGUGAUUGGAAAACAAUUGGAAGAUGAUUAUAGACUCGUACAGAUAAUGUGCUUCUCUUUUGUCGAUAUUUUGGACUGCAAAGCAUAUUCUUUUCUCCUAUUACAUAUAAAUAGUUAUUUAGAACUUUUAAGUGAUUAUGUGUUUUAAAAAUAAUAUAAGACCGCUUAAAUUCUGUAGGCUUAUAUUGAAAUAUCUGAAUAUCAUAGCAAUUCCCAAAUGUAUUGAGUCGGGAAUCCUCUUUUGAACAACUAAAUUGUGGGUCACCUUAUUGGAAUAUUACUCUACCAAAUAACUAGGAUCUUAAACCAAAUAAAUUAAUUGCAGAUAAUAAAGUUAUUUGGAACAUUUAAGUGAUUAUGUGUUUUAUAAGUAUAUAAGAAACUUCUUAACUUCUGUCGGAAUAUCUUAAUGCUAUUGCAUUUCCCAAACUUAUGGAGUCGGGAAUCUUCUUUUAAACAGCCGAAUUGCGUGUUACCAUAUUGGAAUGUUACUCUCGCAAGGAUCUAUCAUCUCACAAAUAAAUAAAUUAUUAAAUGUUUGCCAUACAAGCUAAUUAUAUACUUUUUUUACUGAGAAGAAUAAAUGAUAAUGCAAU